rnacentral:lncRNA from 1 species
CAAAAUUUAGCCGAAGCCCUACUCGCAGGGUCUGGCUUACAGAACCCCUCAGGCACGGGCUAAAAGCGCCGCCGGAGCCAGGGGUUGCGGGCGACGCCCGCGUCCGCCCGCAUAGGGGCUACGGUCGCGGCUGCGGCAGGAGGUGCGGCCUGCGCGCCGGAAGUGAGCGGCCGGGGAGCCCGGCGCGGCUCGGCGCGGCUGGGCGGGGCUGAGGCGAAGGCGACGCUCUGCAGGCGCUGCCGCCGCCGCCGGACCAGGACGCGCCGGGGCUGGGUGGGGGCGGCUCCCGCGGAGGAGGAGCGGGCAAGCGGCAGGGGAAGGGGCAGGGACGGAGCCGGCGCGCGGGGUCGCUGCGCCCGGCAGAGCAGCAGCAACAGCAGGAGGAGGAGGAGGGCGAGAGCAGCCAGGCGCCGCCGCGAACACAGUGCCAAUUAUGACUGGACUGAGACCUUAACAAAGAGGACAGGGAUUCAUUCAAUGGAUGGAGCUUUUCUCCCAUUUUUAGAUACAUCUACAAUGAGGAAGCUUCCUGGUACGGAAGGAAAGGUGGGCAGCUGCAGAAAGAAAUGUAAAGCAACCAUUCCCUUCCAGCAAUGUUGUGGGGAGGAAGAGGAGUUAAACAAAAGGAAGACCAGCUUGGAGUAACUCACAGGACAUCUUCUUGUUAGGUGCAGAACAAGAGUGAAUGAGUUUACAGUGCUUUCCAUACUAUUUAAAAACGGAAGUUGGUAAAGCACCACUCAGCUCAGUUUGUGUAUUAUACUUGUUUUUAAAGAAGUCAAUCAGUUCUCUUAACUGGAGCUAAAAAAGGCAGAUGUAAUGCUGGUGAUUUGUUGGUAGUAUAUCAGUUGUUUUUUAGUUGCAGUUACAGUUAAGGCAAAGCUUAAACAGUGUCCCCAAGAAGCAAACUAAAGAUGAACUUGAGAACAGCUUAUCACUACUUUGCCUUUGAUCAGCUUGUGGUUGUAAAUACAAGAUUUUAGUCACCCAUUACUUCUGGGAGUGAUUGGUCAAUGUGCCUACUGGAGUUUAAAGUCCACUACUGAGCAAAUAAAGAAGUUAAUACUCUGCA